CAUACCAGCACUUUGGUGAGUCUCCUGGCUCAUGUGAGGACUGUGUUUUCCAGCCCUGGGUGGAACCAGCCAGGAGAGACUUGCUGAGAAUCCAUGCCUCAACAAGUGGUUCAAAAGAAGCCUGCUCAGGAAGAGACUGAAGAAACGUCCUCACAAGAGUCUGCAGAAGAAGACUAGGAGAUCACACCAUGCAAUUUCUACCUCAUCAGCAGUUGGGUCUUUUGAAGGGAGAAGACACUGCCUUGACCACUUACUUUCUAUUGCCAUGGUCUUUCCACUUUUGCCUGGGGGAAAAAAAAAAAUCACAUAACCUUAAAAAGGAUUCGACUAAUCAUCUUCUUUUGUAAUCCCUUCACAGUCCCAGGUCUAGUGAAAAACUGCUGUAACACAAAGGGGACACAGAUUAACGAUGCAACUUUUAAUUACUGUUUUCUUUUUUCCUAACCUACUAAUAGUUUGUUUGAGCUGCUAAGUAAGGGUGAAUGGGUCAAGAAGAGCUCCAAAUCAGGCUUAGGUCAUUGACUGCACUGCGUAUAAACAAGAAACUUGUAACAUAGUCAUUAUAAUGGGCAUUGAAAUAGGAAAGGCUGGGUGUGUAACACUUAUGCCUUGCAACACUUCCAGCAACCCACUCCCUACUUAGUGAA